UACGGAGGGUGCAAGCGUUAUCCGGAUUCACUGGGUUUAAAGGGUGCGUAGGAGGGCAGGUAAGUCAGUGGUGAAAUCUCCAAGCUUAACUUGGAAACUGCCGUUGAUACUAUCUGUCUUGAAUAUUGCGGAGGUGAGCGGAAUAUGUCAUGUAGCGGUGAAAUGCUUAGAUAUGACAUAGAACACCAAUUGCGAAGGCAGCUCACUACACAAUCAUUGACUCUGAGGCACGAAAGCGUGGGGAUCAAACAGG
rnacentral:rRNA from 1 species